UACGAAGGGGGCUAGCGUUGCUCGGAAUUACUGGGCGUAAAGCGCACGUAGGCGGCUUCUUAAGUCGGUGGUGAAAUCCUGGAGCUCAACUCCAGAACUGCCUUCGAUACUGGGAAGCUCGAGUCCGGGAGAGGUGAGUGGAACUGCGAGUGUAGAGGUGAAAUUCGUAGAUAUUCGCAAGAACACCAGUGGCGAAGGCGGCUCACUGGCCCGAUACUGACGCUGAUGCACGAAAGCGUGGGGAGCAAACAGG
rnacentral:rRNA from 1 species